ensembl:lncRNA
UGGCGGGGAAAUCUCAGAGGGAGUUAUUCGCAUUUCUGCAACUGUUGCUCUUUCAGUUUAAUCCCUUAUGUGUGUUAAACCAUGCGCAUUAAAAUGAGUUUUCCCUUCGUAGUAUUUCUCUUCUGAACGUCUCCGAGGUCUUUUCUGCCCUAAAGCUCGAGAGAGGGAGAGUCUCACAGCAGAAAAACACACCGCGUGUCAGAUGUUCUCAUGAUGGACAGCGUUUGUAUUUAAGCCAGGCUGCUUGCGUUUAUGCAACGAUCGGCUUCUUGCGUUUAGCUCAUGUAAAUUUGUCAUUCUGAUCACGCACACAGCAGCAGGACGGAGGAAAUAGUAACAAAUAAAUAGUGUGCUCACGGAAAGUGAGGACUGCAGUGGCAAUGGUUGUAAUCACAAUAGUACAUGAGCAGGGUAUAUAUGCAAUAGAGAGAAAGCCAUUUCGUUAAUAAAUCAGCAUUAUGGAAGCUCCUUUUGCUUUUUUGUAACUCUGCCAACACUGAAAUAAGCAUACCCGAGCUGUUCUAUGAUUCCUCUGGAUUAUUCCUGUAAAUUCCUGAUGGGACAAAGUGCAUCUGCUGCCAUCAUGGAGCGUGUGCGUCCAGUAGAAGGGGGAGGUCCUCAGCCUGCGCCGCACAGCAACACACACACACACGUUUCUCCAGACGCAUUGGUGUUUGCUUUGGCUCUCCCGUGUCUCCAGCAGAGGGGUCAUCAGAAGCAGUCUCCUGCCUGAAGCCCGGCGGUCGUGAUCCGAGGCCCGGCCCCCUUCUCCGGGGGGACUCAAGUCAGAGACGAGCAGGAACACGAGCAGCAGCCACGUCCUCAUCGUGCUGAGACUGAUAACAGGGACGCGGGGCGUGAGAGGCGGCUCUAUUGGGGCAGGUGCAUCUCCACAGUACGUUGCCCAACCCUGGCUGGGUCCUGCGUUUUUGCAUUUUAUCAGAUAUUAUCUAUAAGACACCUACUGCUGAGCUCCGGAGGACAGACGGCGUGCGUUAUUGUCUCCGUGCCUUCGGUGAAGCAGCAGCCUCAAGCAAAACAACGAAAUGGGGAACCUCAUGAACACGGCGUGCCAGAUGAGCAACUACAGCAAAAGGAACGUGCGCGUGUACGUCACGGAGAAGGCCCUGCCGCUCGACGCCUUCAUCGCGCCGCUGGCCGGAGGCGAGCAGACCGUCCCGGCCGUGCACCCCGGGGACAAGAAGUUCAGCUUCCGGGCGGAGGUGGAAUGCGUCCGCGUGCUGGCCUCUCAGACCCAGCAGGUGCCCUGGGAGGCUCGCCGCUUCGUGUCCGUCUUCGUGGAGGACGCAGACGACGAGGCGAUCUGCUCCAAGCAGAUCAUGCACAACAUGGAGCCCAGUGCCCCGGUGACCGUGCUGCUCUACGACCUGUAGGUCCACCGCCGCCUUCGUGCACCGCGUUGCUACCUGUAGCGGCUCUAAAUAAAGCUUGUUGAUGCAACCACACGUGGGGUGUUUUCGUGCAUUGCUGUCGACAUGAAAUAAAUGUCUUUUCCCGCCUUCCCGUCUGUCAUUUCGGAGGUAAAAUGAUGUUCCGCGGCGUCACUGGCCUUGCGUGACCGGCCAUCUGUUAUCACCCGCCUCGCUCCCCGAUCUCAGGGUUGUUGCUGAACAGCGCAGGCUUUGUUCCCGCUGCAGGGCUGUGCGUUAUUAG